GCUUACGGCCACACCGCCUGGUAUACGCUUGAUCUCUGAAGAUAAGAUAGGUUGGGCCUGGUUAGUACUUGGAUGGGAGACCGCCUGGGAAUACCAGGUGCUGUAAGCU
rnacentral:rRNA from 1 species